AUAACGAACUGUACAUAGUCGUAAAAGUAAAAACAAUCAUUAAUGCAACAGUUGUUGUAAAUGGUUUUCCAUAAUGUCUACACUUCAUGAGAGUAGCCCAGGGACAGUGCUCACGAGCAGUGUAUUUUGCAUGAAAAGGUGACUGGAAUCUUCAGUGGCUCUUGGAAUUGUAUAAGAAGUUGAAUGAGAAAUUACUUCUUGGAUGCCAGUAGGAGACUAUCAUGUACCAACCAAAACUCAUCAUCGUCUAGUUUGGCCUUAAGCUAGGAAAGUGCAGAACAUGGACUCGGAAAUUAGAACCAAGUUUUUCAGAUUCAGAUUCCUUGGACUUAAUGAACAAAAAGGCAAGUAGUCAGCUGAGGACUGAAAUUGUCGCUGAUCCUGAGAACCUAUACAAUACAUUUUCUUUCAUAAUAAAUUUCACACAUAUCAGUAUUUUGUAAAAUAUUUCGUGUGUUCAUACCAUGAAAAUGAAAUUAGAUUAAUGUUCACAAUGACUUUAUUAUUUUUUUUUUUUUACAGUUUGCAUUUAUAGAAGGAGCUGAAAAAUAGAAUAUAAAGAUCUAAAAUUUAUAGUUGAUUUAUGUUACUAAAGUUCAGUAAAUCAUUGUCAGUUUAUAGCAAGUUAGAACUCUUUAUAUAGAUUUCUUUUCAGAUGAAGGCUUGACUUUAUUUGAAGAGAUGAUAUUAUAUAAUUUUGUAGCACAAUAUUUAAUGAAGCUUCAUUGCACCCUGCCUUGAUCAUUGUACUUCAGUGAUCUGAAAUAAGUUUAUUCUGAUUAAGGUUAUUUUUAAUUAACUGCAUGCAUAUAAAUACAUCAUAAAUAUGCAAUACCGCAUGCAGCCGGAGCCAACAUUGAUGCUUAUUUUCAGCAUACUUUAUUGCAUUUUUCCAUCUUACAUAUGGAAAACAUCAAUAAGUUAGUAGUCUAUCUGGGUAUCUGAACAUAUCUUGAAUGUGUAUGAAGAUUGUAAAACUUUGCUCAUAGUAUUCAAGUACAAAUUGGUAGAUAAUGUCAAUGGAUAUAAUAUACUCCAGUUAGACUUGUUUUACAGUUGAUUAGACCCUCAGAAAUUAACUCAUGUCAGACUGCCCAGCAAGAAAUUCUAGACCUAGAAAUUUAUAUAAGUAAUACAGAAAUUGUCAUCUAAAAGAUAAUGGUCAUGAAAUAUCUGAACCCUAGAAGUUUUAGACUUGGACAUCAGAAAGAGGAAAAAACUUGGCCUUGGACUAAGACUUAGAUGAGGAGGACUUGAUUAAACCAGUCUCAGUCUUUGACUUGCUAAUUUUGAAUAUUUAUGAUGUGAAUGUGAUCAGCACCUUUUCCCUUGCAAACAGAAUAUAAGAAUUGGAAUCAUAAAAAGAUUAAAAAAAGGAUAUAAGAUGUUAGGGAUAUGUUUUUAGGGAAAAAUAAAUCUAUGAAAGCAUAAAGCAAGGAAGGGUUAUGUUAAUGAAAAGUAAAAUAUAGGUUAGGUGUUCCACAAUAUUUUAUAUCUGAGUGUUUCUUAGUAUUUGAUUGUGAGGAAAAGGACAGAUGAUUAAGAUAUGGCCUAUUCUUGAUAGAGCAUUAUUUUAUCUGAAUUAGAAGAUGAAAAUACAAACACACUUUUAAAAAUGGUACUGGACAUAGAUUUCAUUCAUUCAUAAAAAUACACAAUUUGCUCCUCACAGAUGGUACAAGAGAUAUCUGUGUAAAGAAAUACCAUGUACAGGAAAAUUUUGUAAAGCUGCCCAGUAUGAAUAGAUGACAAGUACUGAGAAAAGGAAUGAAAAGGAAAACAAUUUCAGAAACAUAAUGCAAAAGUUAUGAUUGAUAAGAUUCAAAAAUGGGUGUAAAUAAAGAUGAAUUCUAUCACAUCACAAGAUUUUUCCCUCCCUCAUUCUGAUGCAGGUCAAAGUUUCUCAUCUUCAAAAUUGUUUCUUGGGAUCAAAGCAGAUCCUGUUGAUUAGUAUUAUAUUAACCACCAUGCAGAGUAAGCAUGUGCUCAUUGCCUCAAGUAAAAAAUGGCCCUACAUGUAUUUUUGCUAUUCCAAAAUUACAGCAGAUCCUGAUGCAAAUGUUUCAGCAAAACAGCGGUACACAGAAAAGUGGCCUCAUGGUAAAUGAAGAAAUGAUUAAAUGAGAUAGAAGAAAGUAGAUUGUUGUUGGUUUAAGUAAGACCUUAUGAUGGCUUUAUGAAGUACAGGUGCUGAAGCAUAUAUUGUUAGUGAAUCAUACAGUAAGUUUCAAUUUAAAAGAUAAUAUUUCAUUCUAAAUUUAGUAAACUUUUUAUUUAUGAUUACACAUAGAAUGACUGCCAUAAUCUUUCUAGUAUUUAGGGCUUUUAAAGAAUUUACUUUGGUCCUGCUGUUGGUGACUUAGAUGGCCAUUUGUGUGAUCCAAAUCAGAUAUUAGUAUAUGGUAGUAGGUAUUUCUGGACAAGUGAUUAGGGAGAUAGACCCCCCCUGCAAUAGGUAAAGAAGUUGUCUUUUUAGGAAAUAAAUACAUGCUUAGAUAUUGGCACUUUAGCAACUCUAAAUUAUUGAUUACCCAUCAACUAAGGUCAAUUUAAAAGUUGUGGUAAUCUCAGUUAAGAUUUAAGUAGUUAGUUCAAGCAAAUUGUUAGGUAUCUAUAAACUCUGGCAAUUUACAUUACUAAGUUCCUUCUACAAACCUAUCCUUAUGAAAUAUCUGUAUGAUUUCAAGACUUCAUUGUCUAGCAAGUGGGUUUCACCCUGUAGGUUUUAAAUCACAAACCAGCAUAGUUUGCCUCUUCAUUUGAACCCAUAGAUGAUAAUAUAUAUUGAUAUCAAAUUUCAGCACCCAUUUUCUAGAAUAGGCAAACAGUCUGCAUGUUUAUUUCCUAACUUUGAUUAAUUUCUUGUAAGGGACUGUGUAAUGAUGUGCCUAUAUAUCCCCAUCCCCCUUUUUCUCAUAAGAAUAUAACACCUGAGUUUACAAAAUGAUUUUUUUUUUGUUUUUACCAAUUGUGGAGUACACAAUUAUGCUCUUAAUGGUCAUAUGCUUAAAGGAGUUGUGGAAUACAAUCUUUGAAGGACAAAAUCAUCUACAAAGGAAUAGUACCACAAAAAAUUAACUUGUAUACCAAAAUAAUGCAAGAAGAUAAGAACAUUUUAUAUUUGAAACUGACAGUCCUUAAGUUAUGUUAAGACUUCUUCCAGUCAUGAAGAUUCUAGCAUAAGCAAAUUGUGUUAAGAACUGAUUUGCAUUACACAAUUUCUUUAAGCAUACAGCUAUAAGUUAUAGACUUUUGAGGGAUAGUAACUGCACCUUCCCAGAAGCUGCAAAUAUGGACAAUCUUUUUGUAUGAAGUAGGGAGGGAAAAUAACUUAUACACUUGUGCAUUUUCCAUAUAUUCUUUCAGGUAUAUGCUUUCGAAGCAAAGCAAGUGAUUCUCUCCAGAAAAGGCAAAACAGUGCAUAUAAUUUUCAGAAGCCCAAAAUUAGUAGAUUAUAGUUCGGUUGCAGUUGAAUUCUCUUUCCAGCAAAUGAAAGAACUUUGAAAUAAGAUAAAUGAAGCUGGAGUUAUUUAUCCCCUUACUUCAAAAAAAUGACAGAGAAAAAACAAUUUAAAGUCUGAUACUUUUUUCUUAUUAUUUUUACUACUAAUUUUUUUUCCUACAGUGCUAACGUUACUUAUGAGAAGAAAGAUCAAAAUGUUUACCUUGCAGUGGUCGGUCAAUUUGCUUGUUAUAUAAUAUAAAUUAUAAACAAAGAAUCAUUCAAGAAAGACGUAUUUUAAGGGUUCCUUAAGUACCAAUAGGAAAUAUGUGAAAUAAUGACAAUGAUUAAUGACAAUGAGUGAAAAGCUUUUACAAGAAACAUGAAUAUAAGAAUGAGUGAAAAUCUGGGAACAGAUAGUUGUUGCACAAAGGAAAUAUAAUUUGGUCCAAUUACUCACAAGGAUUUUUUCUAUGCAUGCAUAAAAAUGCCCAUUCCUGCCCAGAAAAUCCCCGUGAAUGCUAUAUGUAAUUUUUUUUUUGUCUGUGAGCAUGUUUAUAUUUAUAUUUUUGCCUGUGAGCUUAUUUUGUCUGUGUGCUGACAGUUAUGUAUACUUGCAGUAAGUAAUGCUAUGAGUUGACUCUCUAGUUUUGUGAUUAUGAAGCUUUUAUCCUUUUUCUUAGAAUACAUAUACAUUUAUAUCUAUGUGUCUAUCUAUCUAUCUGUCUAUCUAUGUAUCUUGCUAUCUCUAAUUUCAUUUUGUUUUUUCAGUUUGCCUUUGUUCAUAAAGUAAUUAACAAUUAUAGGAAGUGUGUGAAAGUUUUCAACUUAAAAUAUAGAUAUUGAAGCCUUAUAGAAGUUUAUAAAACAAAAUGAAGCUGUGACAGCUGUAUUUUUUAAGAAAUAGCUUCAGGGUAAAUAUCUCCUUAUAGGAUGAGUAACAUUCAAAUAUGAUGUUUUAUGCCAUUUCAUAUUUUACAAAAAGUUGCUUUAUGAUUCCAAACAUUUUAUUUGAUAUGAAUAAUACAAUUAUGAGUAAUCAAGUUUUCUGUGUAUCUAGAUAUACCAUAUAUGCAGGGCACAAUUUAUACAGAAGCUAAAUAAGCUAUAGAUUAGGGCUUCACAUUUUGAGGGAUCACAAAAUUUUGAUGAAUCUUUUAUAAUUAUUGUGUAUUGCUUUUAUUUGAGUCAUUCCUUUGUUUAUGUUAUUGAGAAAAUGAUAUAACCAUUUUCAAGCUUUACAAAACCUUUAUUUUCACACUUUUUAUGGCUGAUGGCCAAAUCCAAAUUUAGCCCUACAUAUGUGGCAAUGGGUUGAUUUGCUGUAUAUAAUUGCAUUUAUAUGAGUCAUUCGUUUGUUUAUGUUAUAUGAAUAAAUAUUUGCAUU